UCUGAUAAUGAUGACAAACUUGCCCUCACUGAGAACGUUGUUCUAUAAUGAGAACUCCGAAUGUACUCAACUGAACCAGA